rnacentral:rRNA from 1 species
GACGUAGGGCGCGAGCGUUGUCCGGAUUUAUUGGGCGUAAAGAGCUCGUAGGCGGCUUGUCGCGUCGUCCGUGAAAACCUGCAGCUCAACUGCAGGCUUGCGGUCGAUACGGGCAGGCUGGAGUUCGGUAGGGGAGACUGGAAUUCCUGGUGUAGCGGUGAAAUGCGCAGAUAUCAGGAGGAACACCGGUGGCGAAGGCGGGUCUCUGGACAGUUCCUGACGCUGAGGCACGAAGGCCAGGGGAGCAAACGGG